UACGUAGGGGGCUAGCGUUGUCCGGAAUCAUUGGGCGUAAAGAGCGCGUAGGCGGCCAGGUAAGUCUGGUGUGAAAGUCAAAGGCUCAACCUUUGAAUGCCGCUGGAAACUGUCUGGCUAGAGUCCGGGAAGGGCGAGUGGAAUUCCUGGUGUAGCGGUGAAAUGCGCAGAUAUCAGGAGGAACACCAAUGGCGAAGGCAGCUCGCUGGAACGGUACUGACGCUGAGGCGCGAAAGCGUGGGGAGCAAACAGG
rnacentral:rRNA from 1 species